rnacentral:rRNA from 1 species
AUUGAACGCUGGCGGCAGGCCUAACACAUGCAAGUCGAGCGAGCGGCGGACGGGUGAGUAAUGUCUGGGAAUCUGCCCGAUGGAGGGGGAUAACUACUGGAAACGGUAGCUAAUACCGCAUACCAUCAGAUGUGCCCAUAUGGGAUUAGCUAGUAGGUGGGGUAAUGGCUCACCUAGGCGACGAUCCCUAGCUGGUCUGAGAGGAUGACCAGCCACACUGGAACGUGGACACGGUCCAGACUCCUACGGGAGGCAGCAGUGGGGAAUAUUGCACAAUGGGCGCAAGCCUGAUGCAGCCAUGCCGCGUGGGUGAAGAAGGCCUUCGGGUUGUAAAGCACUUUCAGCGAGGAGGCGUUACUCGCAGAAGAAGCACCGGCUAACUCCGUGCCAGCCGCCGCGGUAAUUC